rnacentral:rRNA from 1 species
AACGAACGCUGGCGGCAUACUUUACACAUGCAAGUCGAACGGCAGCGGGGGCUUCGGCCUGCCGGCGAGUGGCGAACGGGUGAGUAAUGCAUCGGAACGUGCCCAUGUCGUGGGGGAUAACGUAUCGAAAGGUACGCUAAUACCGCAUACGCCCUGAGGGGGAAAGCGGGGGAUUCUUCGGAACCUCGCGCGAUUGGAGCGGCCGAUGUCGGAUUAGCUAGUAGGUGAGGUAAAGGCUCACCUAGGCGACGAUCCGUAGCGGGUCUGAGAGGAUGAUCCGCCACACUGGGACUGAGACACGGCCCAGACUCCUACGGGAGGCAGCAGUGGGGAAUUUUGGACAAUGGGCGCAAGCCUGAUCCAGCCAUGCCGCGUGAGUGAAGAAGGCCUUCGGGCUGUAAAGCUCUUUCGGCCGGGAAGAAAUCGGCGACUCUAACAUAGUCGCUGGAUGACGGUACCGGACUAAGAAGCACCGGCUAACUACGUGCCAGCCGCCGCAGUAAUAC